rnacentral:misc_RNA from 1 species
UAAAAAUAUCAUAACAAAGUGAAGAAAGCAAUGGUUUUGCCAUCCUUUAGUUUUUGAUAUGAAAACAACAUAAAUGAAAGGCUAUUUGUGCAUUCUUCACAUGGCAAUAAAAGCUGCAAUUCAAAAGGACAGAGGUCUAGGGUUCAAAUUUGACUGAAAGACAAGUAAAACAAGAGGAGAAGGCAAAAAGCUCUGUUCUUCCAUUUCUUUACCUUUUCUUCUCCAGUCCUAUUGCAUCACCCUAAGAAGUUCAUUAGAAUUGAAUUGACCAAUGGCUUCCCAAAUCAGCUUUUAAAGAGUGAGACCUAGCAGGGUUUGUUCUGUCAUUUUUGACUGGGCAAAAUCAUUUUUACAAACAAAAUUGGACAAGGCAGGUAAAUAAUUUCCCAAAAACAAUUAAAGCAAGCAAAAACACCUUCCAAUUGGUUAGCACUUUCUCUUUUCCCAUGCUACAAAGAGUUGUACUUUCUAGGAACAUCAUCUGUUUGUCUCAGUAAUCUAACCAGGAAGUGAGGAGCCUGCCAUGAAUCUUUGUAACUCGUUGAAACGCUGAUUGCUUGACAUUUGAGAAUUCCAUGAUUAGACUGAUUUUUGUUUGCUAUUUAAUUUCACAAAUUUGGCAGAUUUUUAUGUCAAAAGCACUUACCAAAAGCGUUGUAGUUUUUUAUUAGCUCAAAGCUGCAUUGAAUUUGCCAAGGAUGAUGGUAGAAGCAAUAUUAUCCUUCAAUUAUUAUCAUCUUUGCUUAUAUUGAUGAGCAUAUGCACAUCCUUUGCAGAAUUUGACAGGACCAAAAUCUGAUAUAAAAUUCCCUGCAUUGUGUUGUUG